rnacentral:lncRNA from 1 species
UUUUUUUUUUUUUAAAGUUAUUGUCGUUAUUUUUUAGAGACAGGGUCUUGCUACAUGCCCAGGCUAGAGUGCAGUGGCUAUUCACAGAUGACCAUGAUAAUGCACCACAGCCUCAAACUCCUGGGCUCAAGCAGUCUUCUUGCCUCUCAACCUCCCGAGUAGCUGGGACUACAAGCAUGCGCUACAGCCCCUAGAUCUUAUUUCCUUUUUUCAUACACACAACUGCUCCAGCUCAGCCUUCCUUAUGACCUCCCUCUAGAAGAAAAAUACUUUCCCUACCCUCAACAUACCAAACUUUUUUCCUUUUCCCGUCUUCCUCAAUAAUUUAUGUAGAUGGAUUUUUUUCUUCUGGCUUAGCCAGAAGAAAUUCUUCCUUUUCUUAAGGGUACAAUGCUGAAACUGGGUUGAAAAGGAUAAGAUUUUUUCUAGGGCUUUGGAGAAGAGAGAAAACAUGUCAACACUCUUACAUUCAUACUUUUAUCCUAUUGCAGCUAUAAUAAAAGGCCAUCAAUCCAACAGGAGGGGAAGCAGGGGUGAGUGGUUUGUCUCUAAAGCCAGUGAAGAAGAUCUUGGCACGUGCUUGCCUGUGACUGUGUUCAAUAGCUUCAAAUACAUUUUGUGACUGAAGGCACUGCACUGUGACCAAAAGUGCCAAAUGACUUUUUUGAGUCUGUGUUAAAUACAUCAGGUUUCCACUGAUGCCUGGAAGAGGUAGAUCAGUCUGUGUGGUAAUAUCAAGGGAAACCUCUAUUCCUUGAGAGCCCAAGGGGUAGGAAGCAAACAGAUGCAAUGGCAGUCUCAUUAGAAUGGCUGGUGAUUUGCUAAUUCGACUAUUUGAAGGAAUUCAACAAUUCAAGUCGGAGCUACAAAAGUCACAAUUUUGAAGCCCACACAAGAAAGUCUCAUUUGAAUCUUUACUCAUUUGGAAAUGGAAAAGUCCCUAGGAUCGCCCAGCAUCCACAACAAAGCAGGGUCUGCUAAAUUCCCAUCAUUUGGGAAGAGGAGCUUUUUUUUUUUUUUUUUUUUUUUUUUGCCUGAACUAUCCUCCAGAUCUCCUGGGCGGGAUGGCAAAAAAAUAAAAAAAUAAAAAAAAGGUCA